UCCAAAUAACUACCAGUUUUAGAAUUGUCUUUCUUAAGGCUACAGGUUCCAUUGGAGAGCAAGUAAGUACGUGCUGGGAAUUUAUUAAAACUCCCUUUUUUCCCCUCAGAAAGAUACUAAAACAGAAAGGAGCUUGGAACUAUUGCCACCCUUGCCCUCCAUGUUCCUAGCAGCACGAAGGUAGCUGAACUUGACCAUUCAAAGAACUUGGCAUCGGCUAAGUGGAAGCCUCUAUUUUCCUUAUUCUUUAUCCUUCCUAGGCUUUUCAUUACCCAGACUAGAGUGGGCUAGUAGAAUGAGUUGGCUAGAAAAACAACAAAGUGAGAA
rnacentral:lncRNA from 1 species